UUCUUUGAAGAAUAUGGAAAAAAAAAAGAAAAAGGAAUCCUUCAAACAGUAAAACAAGUUGAAACCUGAAUUCCCAACUUAGGGUGUUAUCAGACAUUGAUAUUUUGACUGCCAUGGGAAUGGAGCAUGA